GAAGAGAGGCGGGAGUUGGGGAGCCACAGGUGUGAGGACCUGGGGCAGAGCCUGAGGCUGGGGUCGAGGCCAUAGGGGUCAGGAGAGAAGAGCGGAAGUUGCGGUUUGGGGUUCCAGCCCGCGCCGGUCUCUCCGCCCCUCUUCCCUCGGGUGUCCCUCCUGCCCCCAGCCCCUCCUCCAGGCCGCCCAUUCCCUCACAUGGAAGACAGACUCUCCUGAGGGGAGGUCCCCCGACACCGGAAGCUGCAGUCCUCCAGAUCCACCGCCCAAUUCCUUUCCUGGGAUCUUCAGAAUUAUAGAAAUUUGAGGUCAAGACAGACCUGGAUUUAAUUUAAACCUGACACCAACUUUUGUGACCUUGGGCUCCUAACCAGCCUCUCUGAAGUGACUGUUACUAAGAUUAAAAGAAGGCAUGCAGAGGGGGAUGUCCUGAAGUUGACUGUCUGUGCUCUGUCUUUUGGAGGAGUAUCCAUCCCAUUUCCUUCUAAGUGCAUGUUCCCCAGGGGAGGGCGCCCGGGCCCGGCCUGAGCUGGAGGUGGUAGUGGAGAAGCGCAUGAUGGGCCCAAAGCCAGAGAAGACCACCUUCUG